rnacentral:rRNA from 1 species
AUUGAACGCUGGCGGCAGGCUUAACACAUGCAAGUCGAGCGGAGAUGAGGUGCUUGCACCUUAUCUUAGCGGCGGACGGGUGAGUAAUGCUUAGGAAUCUGCCUAUUAGUGGGGGACAACAUUCCGAAAGGAAUGCUAAUACCGCAUACGUCCUACGGGAGAAAGCAGGGGAUCUUCGGACCUUGCGCUAAUAGAUGAGCCUAAGUCGGAUUAGCUAGUUGGUGGGGUAAAGGCCUACCAAGGCGACGACCUGUAGCGGGUCUGAGAGGAUGAUCCGCCACACUGGGACUGAGACACGGCCCAGACUCCUACGGGAGGUAGCAGUGGGGAAUAUUGGACAAUGGGGGGAACCCUGAUCCAGCCAUGCCGCGUGUGUGAAGAAGGCCUUAUGGUUGUAAAGCACUUUAAGCGAGGAGGAGGCUACUGAGACUAAUACUCUUGGAUAGUGGACGUUACUCGCAGAAUAAGCACCGGCUAACUCUGUGCCAGCCGCCGCGGUAAAAC